GCUUAAAUUUUAUUAUUUUUAUAUGAAUGCAGCCAAAGAUUUGAUUCAAAAUCGGUGAAAUGCAAUAAGAAAUUAUAUUGAGAUAUACUAACAAGUGGUGGGUGGUUAGCUGACAAGAAGAAGCAAAAAUUGUAUCCAAGUAUGUACAGUGAUAAAAAUGGGUCUGGAAGAUUACGAGGCUGCCAGAGGCUCUGUUCUGCAAAGGAUUCUUCUAGGAAGGCAUGGGAAAAAACUGAUUCGGAGUCGUCAUCUUCUGAUUUUCAAGGUACCUUAAUUUAGCCACUGGAGAAAGUAGAAGUAGACCAAUCCUUAACUAAGGCGGGUUCUGUUGGCAAAGGUAGACAGGAAUCGUGUCGCUGCCAGUCUCCAGGCUCUGUUGAAUGCGUGAGGUUCCAUGUGGGAGAGAAAAGGAUGAUUGUGAAGCUGGAGUUGGGCUCUGCUUUUUAUGGAUGGAAGUUUGAUAAUGUGGGUGAGGAAGUUGCACUUUCUUGGACAAAAGGAGAAGAAAACAAAUUUCAGGAUAUAGUCAAGUCGAAACCUUCCUAUGUGUAUUUCUGGGAUGAACUUUUCAAUGUUCUUCCUUGCAAAGGCAGGGAAUCAUUGGUAAGCUACUACUACAAUGUUUUUCUUCUUCAGCACAGAGGUUAUCAGAAUAGAACUUAUACAAGUAAUAUUGACAGCGACGAUGAGGAAUCAGAUUCCUCAGAAUUUGGACCACCACGUAAGAUAUGGACAAAUGCUUUCUGAAUCCCCAAAGAAAUCCCUAAUUAAGUAUCUGAUAGGUUCCUGAAAGGUGGUUUAGGUUUGGUAGGCUUUAUUAGAACAUGUAAUUACUAGAAAAUUUUCAGUUGGAGCAGUGUUUUUCUUUCACUGCGACCAACCAAAAUUGUGAUCCAGUUGCAACUUUAUGUUGGGAACUCGGACAGAGUGUUGCAUGAUUCGGAAAUUUCGACGAAAUUUGGUGCAAUUUUGAUUAGAAUGGCAUGGGUUCUUUUUGUAUUUCUCAACACGAGUCUUAUCCUCGCAUUAUGAUUAUCAACUGAUUUUGGUA